AAUAAAUUGUAAAAGGCUAAGCCUGGUACUUUUUCAAAAUUUAUUCAAUAAUUCCAUUGACCAAAGUUGUUGAAGAGGAUAAAUAUUCCACAUUUAUGUAUGGCGAAUGCUGGUGCAGUGAUAGUUCUGGGUCGGACAUAAAUCCGACUCGUUCCAGUAACAUCAAUCAAACUGACUUUGGUGAGAAUGUCCAAAUUGGAAAGCACACCUUGAAUAUUUUCUUCAUAUGGGGGUUGGCCGUUUGACCAAUAUUAAGCGAAACUUCAAAAAUUUCAAGUCCACUCAACGUAUUUCACUACAUUACUUUUUUCCACGGGCCCUACGUAAUUUUCCAACACUCUUAGCGAAUUUAUAGAUCUAAAAAUUGUAUAAAUGGAAGAAACUACUCACUUUGGCCUUGACGUCAGACUAGGAUCUGAUGUUUUGCGUCGACUAUUGCGAUUGC